rnacentral:rRNA from 1 species
GACAGAGGGUGCAAACGUUGUUCGGAAUUACUGGGCGUAAAGCGCGUGUAGGCGGCCCUGCAAGUCGGAUGUGAAAUCCCACGGCUCAACCGUGGAAGUGCAUUCGAAACUGCAGGGCUAGAGUCCUGGAGAGGAAGGUGGAAUGCUUGGUGUAGCGGUGAAAUGCGUAGAGAUCGGAAGGAACACCAGUGGCGAAGGCGACUACCUGGACUGCAACUGACACUGAGGCGCGAAAGCGUGGGGAGUAAACAGG